rnacentral:misc_RNA from 1 species
UUUUUUUUUUUUUUUUAAUUUUCGUAUAUAUAUGUAUAUAUGUGGAAAUAGGAUUUUAUGCUUUUGGCAUCUGGGUGAAUUUUAAUCUUAUUAGUUGUUCUUUUUUACCCCCUCAAAUUUUUCCCCUUGGUUUGCUUGUCGGUUUGCCCACUACCUGUGCCUUUUAGCCUUUAAAGUACCUUUUCCUCUUUGUACUCGGUAGCUUUUUAUGCUUUUAUUCAACGAAGAGUUCAAUCAGUGUGACAGUAUCCACAGUGCUACUGCAAAUUUCAGGAUCCAUUCUGAAAUUACUUUUUCUUUUUUUUGCUUGAUGCUAGAGGUUCUGAUUCUAAGAAUGGCUUUUUCGGACGGUUGAUGAUAUAGGUCAAUUUUGUUUUCAUUUGUCCCCUUGUUUUUCCACUAUUGUGAAUAACUGAUGAUCAAUCGGUUAACUGCUGUGCUUCAAUCUUACGAGGUGGUGGUAUACUUGCAAGUCUUCACUAUUGCAUAAUGAGUACUACUAAUGUGGUUGAAGGUGGAAACAAGCGACCUUUUAGUCCUAACUUGUAUGUUGUUUGCAUCUGUUCUUAUAAACUUUUUCUUAUUUGGAGCAAAUGGAAAAUGCCCUUUUAAAAACUUUCUACUAAUACGGUAGCUGUAUGGUAGUCCUCCCUUCAAAAAUUCUCGCAUCCAAGUAUUUUGCAUAUGUUAUGGCAAAAUCUGAAGUUUCUUUAUAAAAAGAAGUGCAUUCAGCCUUUUCUACCAAUGAAAUGAAAGUCAAUGAUCUAUUCUAUGUUAAUUUUUUCCUUGUGCUCAUCUCAGUCUGUGGAUUGACUGACUUUUUGGUUAAUUGUUUUGGAUGUUUCGAGUGGAAUGUUUUCUCCUUUUUCUAUUGGUCUUUCUAGCUUUUGAUUUGAAAGUCAAAAAGAAGAGGUAAAGAUGAAGGACUGUAAUUUUUCCUUUUUCUUAUUGGCCUUGGUGACCAAAUUUAAUUACCUGCUAUUGAUACCUGAUCAAAUGGUCAUGGGGUCAGUGUGAGUAUCAUAAUAGUAGUUGAUUAGGGCAUGAGAGCAAAGUUCCGGGCUGAGCCUUAGCAGCCUGGAAAUACAGAGGCCCUCCAAAAUGACUUUGCUGUCUUGAUCUCACUUCAUAAGAUUACGUUUUAACCUCUUUUCUGAGUAGGAGCAAUGAUAAUCUCAACUAUAUUGUACUUUGCUAUUAACAAUCUCCUUCGCUAUUAAAACGUAUCAUCCAAAACCUGAGUCCUGACCUUUUCACUUAUUUUUUCUGCUUUUUCACUAAGAUUAAUUGUGUUGACUCUAUUAUCUUACUUUGUCCCCCCUUUCUGUUUGCAGACAAUAGUGAUCUGUUAAUACAUUGCUGUAGAUAAUAGAGACAAGGCCCCAAAAAUUUGUGGUCGCAAGUGAAUUAUAUUAUGCUCGACUAUUUAUCAAUGUCUGCUGAAUAGUAGCAUGUAGCUUUUGGAAAUUAGUUACUUUAUCAAGUAAAGGGAGCAAUUCUCAUUGAAAAGUUUAUUAUAUCUAUUGAGAACAUCAAGUCAAUCAGAGGCUAGUUUUAGAUGCAAACAUCUCAGAAACACAAAAGUUCAGCUGGUAUUCACGGGUUUUACCACCAACCACAAGAGAUUGAUCAAUAUGGUUUGCCUCAUAUACAAAUUUUAGACAACAAUGUAUUCUCAGAUGUCGGCAAUCAAGGAACCACUGUGUCCUUUCAAAACUACAAGGACGAAUACUUUACCUUGGAAUCUUCCACGGCUACUGGAGGUUUUGUUGUCUAUGAUUCACCUGCUGCCAGUGUCUCAUCCAACAGAAGUCCCUUUUCACCCCAAGGUUCACAUUCGUACCUAUCAGAUCCUCAUCAUUCUCCUGAUAACAUAUAUGGAUCUCCAAUGAGUGGAUCUUCAUCUGCUGAUGAUGACAAUGUACUAAUGAGGCAGAAAUUAAGGGAACUGGAAUUUUUGUUACUGGGGUCUGAAUCAGACAUUACAAAAAACUGUGAUUUCUGCUUCCAUCAAGCUGAUCGAUUAGCAAGUUGGGACUGGAACCAAAUGGUAGAAAUGAUCCCUAGGUUAGACAUAAAACAGGUGCUCUUUGCCUGUGCGCAGUCUGUAUCUGAUGGUGAUAUACAAAGAGCUGCAGGUUUAAUGCAUGUGUUGGAGCAAAUGGUUUCAGUCUCUGGGGAGCCAAUGCAGCGUUUGGGAGCUUACAUGUUGGAAGGGCUCAGAGCUAGGGUGGAACUCUCAGGAAGUAAAAUCUACAGAGCCUUGAAGUGUGAUGCACCACUGAGCUCAGAUCUGAUGACUUACAUGGGUAUUCUCUUUAAGAUCUGUCCCUACUGGAGGUUUGCAUACACAGCUGCCAAUGUUGUCAUCCGUGAAGCUAUGGUGUAUGAGCCUAGAAUUCACAUAAUUGAUUUCCAGAUUGCACAGGGCACCCAGUGGAUGUACUUAAUCAAGUCACUUGCAGAUCGGCCAGGUGGCCCCCCGUCAAUUCGCAUAACUGGUGUUGAUGAUCCCCAGUCAGCUCAUGCUCGUGGUGGUGGACUUCCUAUUGUAGGGCACAAGCUAUCAUGUUUUGCUGAGUCAUGCAAUGUGCCAUUUGAGUUCUAUGACGCCGCCAUGUCUGGUUGUGAGGUUCAACUUGAACAUCUUGGGUUGCAGCCUGGAGAAGCUGUGGUUGUGAAUUUUCCAUAUGUAUUGCACCACAUGCCAGAUGAGAGUGUGAACACAUGGAAUCACAGAGACCGACUGUUAAGGCUGGUAAAGAGUUUGUCACCAAAGGUUGUGACGCUCAUUGAGCAAGAAUCUAACACUAAUACUAAGCCAUUCCUUCCAAGGUUCAAGGCAACACUAGAAUAUUAUGCCGCCAUGUUUGAAUCAAUUGAUGCUGGAUCCUCUAGGGAUGACAAGCAGAGGAUAAAUGCUGAGCAACACUGUGUGGCUCGCGACAUUGUCAAUAUGAUUGCUUGUGAGGGAGCUGACAGGGUUGAACGACACGAACUCUUUGGGAAGUGGAGUUUGCGAUUUAAUAUGGCUGGAUUUACUCAGUACCCACUAACUUCCAUGGUGACAGGUGCUGUCAGAGAUUUAUUGAGAGAAUAUGACAGGAACUAUGGACUUCAAGAGAAGGAUGGUGCUCUUUACCUUUGGUGGAUUAACACACCCAUGGCAACCUUUUCCGCUUGGAGGUGAAACCCUGAUAGUAGCAGUGGAGUUCUUUAACAUCUGUAAAAUUUGUCAUUGCUGUUUUGCUACGAAAGUUUUAAGUUAUGACCUGUAGUGAUGUUUGUCUUUGUAGAAGUAAUUGAGAAUAGCUAUUUUUCAGAUACUAGUGUCAGUUCAAAUACUCAACUCUUAGAUUUCACUGUACAUCUCCCGCUGCGGAAUGAAAUAAAAACAGUUCCGCAUUAUGCUGCAAUUUAUCUUCUAGCAAUAAUUAGUAUCUGUUUCAGAACCUACACGUUUUUUGAACUGAAAUGAAAUAGUUUCAGUUCUUCUGGAAAGCUAGCAAAUGAUGUAAGGUUUAGUGAGUGUAGUCUUGUAUGCAUAUCUCAGAAGUUUAACAACUUAUUAAUGCAGGAUGGUAUUAU